rnacentral:rRNA from 1 species
AUUGAACGCUGGCGGCAUGCCUUACACAUGCAAGUCGAACGGUAACAGGUCUUCGGACGCUGACGAGUGGCGAACGGGUGAGUAAUGCAUCGGAACGUGCCCAGUCGUGGGGGAUAACUGCUCGAAAGAGCAGCUAAUACCGCAUACGACCUGAGGGUGAAAGCGGGGGACCGUAAGGCCUCGCGCGAUUGGAGCGGCCGAUGUCAGAUUAGCUAGUUGGUGGGGUAAAGGCCUACCAAGGCAACGAUCUGUAGUUGGUCUGAGAGGACGACCAGCCACACUGGGACUGAGACACGGCCCAGACUCCUACGGGAGGCAGCAGUGGGGAAUUUUGGACAAUGGGCGCAAGCCUGAUCCAGCAAUGCCGCGUGCAGGAAGAAGGCCUUCGGGUCGUAAACUGCUUUUGUCAGGGAAGAAAUCUUCUGGGCUAAUACCCCGGGAGGAUGACGGUACCUGAAGAAUAAGCACCGGCUAACUACGUG